GAUGAACGCUGGCGGCGUGCCUAAUACAUGCAAGUCGAGCGAACAGACGAGGAGCUUGCUCCUUUGACGUUAGCGGCGGACGGGUGAGUAACACGUGGGUAACCUACCUAUAAGACUGGGAUAACUUCGGGAAACCGGAGCUAAUACCGGAUAAUAUUUCGAACCGCAUGGUUCGAUAGUGAAAGAUGGCUUUGCUAUCACUUAUAGAUGGACCUGCGCCGUAUUAGCUAGUUGGUAAGGUAACGGCUUACCAAGGCAACGAUACGUAGCCGACCUGAGAGGGUGAUCGGCCACACUGGAACUGAGACACGGUCCAGACUCCUACGGGAGGCAGCAGUAGGGAAUCUUCCGCAAUGGGCGAAAGCCUGACGGAGCAACGCCGCGUGAGUGAUGAAGGUCUUCGGAUCGUAAAACUCUGUUAUUAGGGAAGAACAAACGUGGAAGUAACUGUGCACGUCUUGACGGUACCUAAUCAGAAAGCCACGGCUAACUACGUG
rnacentral:rRNA from 1 species